CGAACGCUGGCGGCGUGCCUACUACAUGCACAUCGAGCGAAGUUUUUCUGGUGCUUGCACUAGAAAAACUUAGCGGCGAACGGGUGAGUAACACGUAAAGAACCUGCCUCAUAGACUGGGACAACUAUUGGAAACGAUAGCUAAUACCGGAUAACAGUAUUUCUCGCAUGAGAGAUAUUUAAAAGUUGGUUAUGCUAACACUAUGAGAUGGCUUUGCGGUGCAUUAGCUAGUUGGUGGGGUAAAGGCCCACCAAGGCGACGAUGCAUAGCCGACCUGAGAGGGUGAUCGGCCACACUGGGACUGAGACACGGCCCAGACUCCUACGGGAGGCAGCAGUAGGGAAUCUUCCGCAAUGGGCGAAGGCCUGACGGAGCAACGCCGCGUGAGUGAAGAAGGAUUUCGGUUCGUAAAGCUCUGUUGUUAGGGAAGAAUGGAUAUGUAGUAACUAUACAUGUAAGAGACGGUACCUAACCAGAAAGCCACGGCUAACUACGUG
rnacentral:rRNA from 1 species